rnacentral:rRNA from 1 species
UACAGAGGUCCCAAGCGUUGUUCGGAUUCACUGGGCGUAAAGGGUGCGUAGGUGGUUGUGCAAGUCUGAUGUGAAAUCUCCGGGCUUAACCCGGAAACUGCAUUGGAAACUACCUUGCUGGAGGGUUUGAGGGGGGACUGGAAUUCUCGGUGUAGCAGUGAAAUGCGUAGAUAUCGAGAGGAACACCGGUGGCGAAGGCGAGUCCCUGGAAAACACCUGACACUGAGGCACGAAAGCUAGGGGAGCAAACAGG